rnacentral:rRNA from 1 species
CUUCGGUGGUACUCGAGCGGCGAACGGGUGAGUAACACGUGAGUAAUCUGCCCCUGGCUUUGGGAUAGCCACCGGAAACGGUGAUUAAUACCGGAUACGACCACUUCGCGCAUGUGAUGGUGGUGGAAAGUUUUUCGGCCAGGGAUGUGCUCGCGGCCUAUCAGCUUGAUGGUGAGGUAAUGGCUCACCAUGGCUUCGACGGGUAGCCGGCCUGAGAGGGUGACCGGUCACACUGGGACUGAGACACGGCCCAGACUCCUACGGGAGGCAGCAGUGGGGAAUAUUGGACAAUGGGCGGAAGCCUGAUCCAGCAACGCCGCGUGAGGGAUGACGGCCUUCGGGUUGUAAACCUCUUUCAGCAGGGACGAAGCGCAAGUGACGGUACCUGCAGAAGAAGCACCGGCCAACUACGUGCCAGCAGCCGCGGUAAUACGUAGGGUGCGAGCGUUGUCCGGAAUUAUUGGGCGUAAAGGGCUCGUAGGCGGUUUGUCGCGUCGGGAGUGAAAACCAGGUGCUUAACACCUGGCUUGCUUUCGAUACGGGCAGACUAGAGGCAUGCAGGGGAGAACGGAAUUCCUGGUGUAGCGGUGAAAUGCGCAGAUAUCAGGAGGAACACCGGUGGCGAAGGCGGUUCUCUGGGCAUGUCCUGACGCUGAGGAGCGAAAGUGUGGGGAGCGAACAGGAUUAGAUACCCUGGUAGUCCACACCGUAAACGUUGGGCGCUAGGUGUGGGAUCCAUUCCACGGGUUCCGUGCCGCAGCUAACGCAUUAAGCGCCCCGCCU